rnacentral:tRNA from 1 species
CUGGCGCUGGCCGGCACGGCCGUCGCCGCACUCGACCUGGUGCUGCCCCUGUGGGCGGCGGCGCUGAUCGUCACCGCGGUGCUGUUC